rnacentral:rRNA from 1 species
GACGAACGCUGGCGGCGUGCUUAACACAUGCAAGUCGAACGAUGAAACCUUAGCUUGCUUUGGUGGAUUAGUGGCGAACGGGUGAGUAACACGUGAGCAACGUGCCCAGGACUCUGGAAUAACCGCGGGAAACCGUGGCUAAUACCGGAUAGGUGCCGAGGCCGCAUGGUCUUCGGUUGGAAAGUUUUUGCGGUUCUGGAUCGGCUCACGGCCUAUCAGCUUGUUGGUGGGGUAAUGGCCUACCAAGGCGACGACGGGUAGCCGGCCUGAGAGGGUGACCGGCCACACUGGGACUGAGACACGGCCCAGACUCCUACGGGAGGCAGCAGUGGGGAAUAUUGCACAAUGGGCGCAAGCCUGAUGCAGCAACGCCGCGUGGGGGAUGACGGCCUUCGGGUUGUAAACCUCUUUUAGUAGGGAAGAAGCGCAAGUGACGGUACCUGCAGAAAAAGCACCGGCUAACUACGUG